UACGAGGGGGGCAAAUGUUGUUCGGAAUCACUGGGCGUAAAGGGAGCGUAGGCGGGAUGGCAAGUCGGUCGUGAAAUCCCUCGGCUCAACUGAGGAGCGUCGAUCGAAACUGCCGUUCUUGAGGGUUGCAGAGGAGACUGGAAUUCCCGGUGUAGCGGUGAAAUGUGUAGAGAUCGGGAGGAACACCGGUGGCGAAGGCGGGUCUCUGGGCAACUCCUGACGCUGAGGCGCGAAAGCGUGGGGAGCAAACGGG
rnacentral:rRNA from 1 species